rnacentral:sRNA from 1 species
GGCGGGUCGACCUGGUUCCGACCCAGGCGGCCGGCGCCCCCAGCCUUAACUGGCCAGGACGCCCGGCUAAGUGCCCGCCAGUAUACAAAACUCAAGAAUUCAUUUUGUGAAGUCCUGAUAUAUCAUUUAAUUGAUUAAAACUUUCAACAACGGAUCUCUUGGUUCUGGCAUCGAUGAAGAACGCAGCGAAAUGCGAUAAGUAAUGUGAAUUGCAGAAUUCAGUGAAUCAUCGAAUCUUUGAACGCACAUUGCGCCCUCUGGUAUUCCGGAGGGCAUGCCUGUUCGAGCGUCAUUUCAACCCUCAAGCUCUGCUUGGUAUUGGGCAACGUCCGCUGCCGGACGUGCCUUGAAGACCUCGGCGACGGCGUCCUAGCCUCGAGCGUAGUAGUAAAAUAUCUCGCUUUGGAGUGCUGGGCGACGGCCGCCGGACAAUCGACCUUCGGUCUAUUUUUCCAAGGUUGACCUCGGAUCA